GGUCAGGUAGCUCAGCUGGUUAGAGCGCAGGACUCAUAAUCCUGAGGUCGAGAGUUCAAGUCUCUCUCUGACCA
rnacentral:tRNA from 1 species